rnacentral:tRNA from 1 species
CAAGAUGUAGCUUAACCAAAGCACCCGGCUUACACCCGGAAGACUUCAUAUUCAUAUGAACGUCUUGA